CCAGAACAAGGUUCAGAGGUCUUGGACAUUCUUGCCGAAGGAUGUUGCCAGCAGGUUUAGCAGGGACGGCACCUGCUGCCACCAUAGCAGUUGGUGAUGCAGGAGAUGUCAAAGCCCACUGGGUUGAUGGGAACCCUAUCAGAGCUGAGGAUAGUGCCAACAGCAGCAGUGGUGGAGGAUCCAGCCAGCGCCAGCCACUGACACACGCUCAGUCCCCAGUUCCUUCUCUGCAGGAACCUGGACAUGGCACCCACAUCUCUCAAGGACAAUCCCAAACCCAGGACAUCCCUUUCAUGCCAGCUGCAGGGAGCCUUGGGGCCAUCAGCUGCUUCCCAGGGUCCUCGUUGCUGCCUCAUAUCAAGGGUUGAUAUGACAGGAUUCUGUUGUCUAUGUGGGGAUGGGGGAGUCCACUGACCACAGAGGCCUUUGUCCCAUAGUCCAGGAGCUGUGCGAAAUGGAUACAGUCACUGAGAAUGAGGGAUGUAGAGAGAAACUGUUAACUGUGUCUGGGAGGUGGAUGGUGGAAUAUGGGGGAGUUUCUCUUCUCUCAAAUCCAGAAUGGGAAAUAGUGGCAGCCUUCAACAUGGAGUGAGGACGGUUUCAGUUUUGGUUCCGUCGUCAUGCUCACUUGAUCCUGUGUAACCAUUCAACACUGCCUGUGAACUAAGAAGCUGAGCAGAAGACUAAUGUGACAGACAUGUUUGAAGAGAGGAGGUUGUGGAAUAUCCCCAGGCACUGCUGUUUCCCAUGCCCUGUCACCAUUUGACAUCAUCUUCUCAUGAUGAUCUCUAUUUGGGGGAAGGCAGGGAGGUGUUUGGGAACUCCAAAAGUAAAGUCCACCGUGGAGUUUCCACCCACGGCUUCCUCCACCUUUUGAACUGAGCUGAAUGGAAGUGGUCCAACAUAAGAAAGGACAAAGCAGAGAGCCAGGUUUGGAUGCAGAAAAACUUUAUUGACUGUAAGGAAGAGAAGGAGGUAGCAGAAAGAGGACACCCAGAGCUAACACGGGGGCACAGUGGGGGAGUCCAUUUGCCUGAACUCCAGAGACAGGGAGGGAGGCAAACAGAUCACAC
rnacentral:lncRNA from 1 species